GACGAACGCUGGCGGCGUGCUUAACACAUGCAAGUCGAACGGAAAGGCCCUGCUUUUGUGGGGUGCUCGAGUGGCUAACUGGUGAUUAACACGUGAGUAAUCUGCCCUUGACUUUGGGAUAACUUCAGGAAACUGGGGCUAAUACCGGAUAGGUGCUCCUGCUUCAUGGUGGGGGUUGGAAAGUUUCGGCGGUUGGGGAUGGACUCGCGGCUUAUCAGCUUGUUGGUGGGGUAGUGGCUUACCAAGGCUUUGACGGGUAGCCGGCCUGAGAGGGUGACCGGCCACAUUGGGACUGAGAUACGGCCCAGACUCCUACGGGAGGCAGCAGUGGGGAAUAUUGCACAAUGGGCGGAAGCAUGAUGCAGCAAAGCCGCGUGCGGGAUGACGGCCUUCGGGUUGUAAACCGCUUUCGCCUGUGACGAAGCGUGAGUGACGGUAAUGGGUAAAGAAGCACCGGCUAACUACGUG
rnacentral:rRNA from 1 species